rnacentral:miRNA from 1 species
UAUUAGGUUAGUGAAAAAGUAAUUGCGGUUUUUGCCAUUACUUUUAAUGGUAAAAACCACCAUUACUUUUGCACUAACUUAAUAC